rnacentral:lncRNA from 1 species
UUGUAAGACCCGUAUAAAUAAAAUGAUUUCUUACCUUAAGCAAUUUAAUUUUGGUGGUAUUAGAUAAUAAAUUUUGAUGUGAAACGUUGUUGAGAAAUAUUUAAGGAAGNGAAGAAAAUUAAAUUAAUAAUGGUUUUAUAUUAAUUUUCGAAAAAGCUUGGAAUCAUAUUUAAAUAUAAUUGUUUGCACUAUUAUAUCAGUGGAUGGAGCUUGGUCUAGUGGUUGUUGUGUGUGCAUGGGAGGGAUGUGUGUUUGGUCUUAAGUUCUUCUAACCCUCCCAAGACCAAAAAUGCUCCUAGUUCAUUUUACUUUCCACCUUGUCAUGUGGGUCCCACCAUGAGGUAAGAAAGAUGAAAUUUUAUGUGUUUGGACAUGAAAGUAGCGUGGUGUGUGUGUGUUAUGUGCCUUUCAUUGAAUAUUUUUUUAUUGAUUUUAUGUUUUUCCAUUGCAUGGUUGGAGAGAGAAAAUGUUGGGUUGCUUAUGGAAGUGUGAACGUUCCAAAGGAGGGGUGUUGCUCCUCAUUCAUUCUUUACGUUACAAUGCAUGGCCAUUAGCUUUCCAUUUUUCUUUUUUUACUUUGCAUGGGUGUUGGGCACACUUUCUCAUAGCUUUGGAAAUAUUAAGUGACAUUUGAUUUCCUUGUGCGAGGUUACCAUUCUAUUAGUAAUUGUAGGUUACAUAAAUGAGAGUUAAGGGGCACUUUAACACCUUUUAAAAACUACCAUUUACACACAUUAAAGAGAGGUUUUAUUGGUGUUAAUGUGGAGUUAGAAAUGGGAAAAAUCUGAAAUGGCUUACGGGUGCCAUUGGGAGUGACCUAGAAUAAAGUGGUUAAGGGUUAGUAGGAUUGGGAGUUAGUCUCUACUUAAAUGUGUAACUUUAAGUUAGAAAAAAAAAAUAAACAUUUGGAGAGAAAAAUAGAGAGAGAGCCGUGAGAGUGAGUGGAGAAACACAACAUUGUUCUAGACCAAUCAAGUUGGUGAGAGAAAGAAGAACAUCCUAGUGUUUGGGUGGUGGCCGUGACAUGAGAGAGUCUUAGAGGAGUGAAGACUUGGAGUCUAGUGAAGGGAGGAAACCUAAGAGCCUUUGGAAGCUUGCUUGGAACUAGAGGUAAGGGGUUUAACUUGGGAUAUAAUAUGGUGUAUGAUGGGUAGAAGGUAACAUGACAAUAUUGAUGCAUGCUUUCU